rnacentral:rRNA from 1 species
UACGUAGGCAGCGAGCGUUGUUCGGAGUUACUGGGCGUAAAGGGUGCGUAGGCGGUUGUUUAAGUUUGGUGUGAAAUCUCCCGGCUCAACUGGGAGGGUGCGCCGAAUACUGAGCGACUAGAGUGCGGGAGAGGAAAGUGGAAUUCCUGGUGUAGCGGUGAAAUGCGUAGAUAUCAGGAGGAACACCGGUGGUGUAGACGGCUUUCUGGACCGUAACUGACGCUGAGACACGAAAGCGUGGGUAGCAAACAGG